rnacentral:rRNA from 1 species
UACAGAGGUCUCAAGCGUUGUUCGGAAUUACUGGGCGUAAAGCGCACGUAGGCGGAAUGUUAAGUCAGGGGUGAAAUCCCGGGGCUCAACCCCGGAACUGCCUUUGAUACUGGCAUUCUCGAGUCCGGAAGAGGUGAGUGGAAUUCCGAGUGUAGAGGUGAAAUUCGUAGAUGUUCGGAGGAACACCAGUGGCGAAGGCGGCUCACUGGUCCGGUACUGACGCUGAGGUGCGAAAGCGUGGGGAGCAAACAGG